GCUAAACGCGAAGAACCUUACCUGGCCUUGACAUGUCUGGAAUCCCGAAGAGAUUUGGGAGUGCCGCAAGGAACCAUGAGACAGGUGCUGCAUGGCUGUCGUCAGCUCGUGUCGUGAGAUGUUGGGUUAAGUCCCGCAACGGGCGCAACCCUCGUCUUUAGUUGCCAGCAUUCAGUUGGGCACUCUAGAGAGACUGCCGCGAAUAACGCGGAGGAAGGUGGGAGUGACGUCAAGUCAUCAUGGCCCUUACGUCCUGGGCUACACACGUGCUACAAUGGGCGCUACAAAGGGCUGCAAGACCGCGAGGUGGAGCCAAUCCCUAAAAUCGCCCUCAGUUCAGAUUGCAGUCUGCAACCCGACUGCAUGAAGGUGGAAUCGCUAGUAAUCGCGGAUCAGAACGCCGCGGUGAAUACGUUCCCGGGUCUUGUACACACCG
rnacentral:rRNA from 1 species